rnacentral:tRNA from 1 species
GGAGAUAGAGCUCAGUGGCAGAGCGCAUGCUUAGCUUGCACGAGGUCCUGGGUUCAAUCCCCAGUAACCCCA